CCUGGUGGCUCAGAUGGUAAAAGCAUCCACCUACAAUGUGGGAGACCUGGGUUCGAUCCCUGGGUCAGGA
rnacentral:tRNA from 1 species